UUUCAUUCACCACCAUAAGCACCCAUCCAACACAAUACCUAUAAUAAUAAUUAAGAUUAAUAUUUUCAAAUACUAAUUUGAAGGAAAAUGUCUCUAGUUUCCUUUAGGUUAUGACUUUAGAAUAGGAGAUGAGUCAUAUACACACAUACACAACUUUGAGCCUUUGGACCAUGUGCGGGUUUUAAUUUAUAAUACUAAACCCGCCCGCAACGGAUAAAAUUACCCGCAGUGGGCGGGUUUUGGCAGGUGGGUUUGGACGGGUUUGCGGGUUUGCGGGUACAAUUGUCAUCCCUAGGUGGAAUGCAAAAGUUACAGGAAGUAGGGGUGGGCAUCGGAUCGGAUUUGGAUAGAUCCGAUCCGAUCCGAUCUAAUCCGAACAAAUUUGGAUCGGAUUCGGAUUCUGCUUCAAAUCCGAUCGGAUGUAAUUUGUGCAAUUCGAUCGGAUUUGAUUCGGAUCGGAUCGGAUCGGAUUAAUCCGAACAAUCCGAUCGGAUUGCACUGCUCCUUAAAAAAAAAAAAGAAACAGAAAUUAAAUGAAAAAUUGAAAACUUAAACAGCUAAACCUAAUUCCCAAAUCACAAAACCACCCACGCAACCCAGCCACGCGACCUGACGCACCACGCAACCCAGCCACGCGACCUGACGCACCACGCAACCCAGCCAAACCAACCCACGACCACAAACCACACACACAUGCCACAACCUGACGCACACGACGACUCACGCCAUCGACAACAUAAACGGAACGAACCCAGCCGGAUCUUGAUCAACGUCCAGUUGCCAUUCACGACGAGCAGCUGACGGCGAAAGCAACCUCGCGAUAGCCGACUUGUUCAUUGUGUAAGGUUCCUGUCUUUAUUGCAUGAUUGUCUAAGGAAUUAAAUGUGCAGUCUGUGAUGAGCAAAUCAAGAAGACGAAGUGAAAGGCUGCUGCAGAGAGAUGAGCUCUCGACUUACCUAUAUUUGGAUGUGUAAUUAUCAUAUAACACCCUGAGCUUUUGAUAAUGAAGCUAAUGAAAGAAUUGUGUAAGGACUUGUGUUUCAUUAAUUCUAGAUUUCAUUAAUUUUUGGUAAAAAUUGUCAAAAAGGUUCCAAAUCCGAAUACAAUCCGAACCGAUCUGAAUCCGAA
rnacentral:lncRNA from 1 species